rnacentral:tRNA from 1 species
AUCUUUUUAGUACUAAAGAGUAUAUGUGGCUUCCAACCACCUGGUCUUGGAUAAAAUCCAAGAAAAGAUA